UACGAAGGGGGCUAGCGUUGUUCGGAAUCACUGGGCGUAAAGCGCACGUAGGCGGAUGUGUCAGUCAGGGGUGAAAUCCCGGGGCUCAACCUCGGAACUGCCUCUGAUACAACACGUCUUGAGUCCGGAAGAGGUGGGUGGAAUUCCUAGUGUAGAGGUGAAAUUCGUAGAUAUUAGGAAGAACACCGGUGGCGAAGGCGACCCACUGGUCCGGUACUGACGCUGAGGUGCGAAAGCGUGGGGAGCAAACAGG
rnacentral:rRNA from 1 species